UACGAAGGGGGCUAGCGUUGUUCGGAAUCACUGGGCGUAAAGCGCACGCAGGCGGAUUGAUAAGUCGGGGGUGAAAUCCCGGGGCUCAACCUCGGAAUUGCCUUCAAUACUGGCUAUCUUGAGUACGGGAGAGGUGUGUGGAACUCCGAGUGUAGAGGUGAAAUUCGUAGAUAUUCGCAAGAACACCAGUGGCGAAGGCGGCUCACUGGCCCGAUACUGACGCUGAGGCACGAAAGCGUGGGGAGCAAACAGG
rnacentral:rRNA from 1 species